rnacentral:rRNA from 2 species
AGAGUUUGAUCAUGGCUCAGAUUGAACGCUGGCGGCAGGCCUAACACAUGCAAGUCGAGCGGUAGCACAGAGAGCUUGCUCUCGGGUGACGAGCGGCGGACGGGUGAGUAAUGUCUGGGAAACUGCCUGAUGGAGGGGGAUAACUACUGGAAACGGUAGCUAAUACCGCAUAACGUCGCAAGACCAAAGUGGGGGACCUUCGGGCCUCAUGCCAUCAGAUGUGCCCAGAUGGGAUUAGCUAGUAGGUGGGGUAACGGCUCACCUAGGCGACGAUCCCUAGCUGGUCUGAGAGGAUGACCAGCCACACUGGAACUGAGACACGGUCCAGACUCCUACGGGAGGCAGCAGUGGGGAAUAUUGCACAAUGGGCGCAAGCCUGAUGCAGCCAUGCCGCGUGUGUGAAGAAGGCCUUCGGGUUGUAAAGCACUUUCAGCGGGGAGGAAGGCGGUGAGGUUAAUAACCUCACCGAUUGACGUUACCCGCAGAAGAAGCACCGGCUAACUCCGUGCCAGCAGCCGCGGUAAUACGGAGGGUGCAAGCGUUAAUCGGAAUUACUGGGCGUAAAGCGCACGCAGGCGGUCUGUCAAGUCGGAUGUGAAAUCCCCGGGCUCAACCUGGGAACUGCAUUCGAAACUGGCAGGCUAGAGUCUUGUAGAGGGGGGUAGAAUUCCAGGUGUAGCGGUGAAAUGCGUAGAGAUCUGGAGGAAUACCGGUGGCGAAGGCGGCCCCCUGGACAAAGACUGACGCUCAGGUGCGAAAGCGUGGGGAGCAAACAGGAUUAGAUACCCUGGUAGUCCACGCUGUAAACGAUGUCGAUUUGGAGGUUGUGCCCUUGAGGCGUGGCUUCCGGAGCUAACGCGUUAAAUCGACCGCCUGGGGAGUACGGCCGCAAGGUUAAAACUCAAAUGAAUUGACGGGGGCCCGCACAAGCGGUGGAGCAUGUGGUUUAAUUCGAUGCAACGCGAAGAACCUUACCUGGUCUUGACAUCCACAGAACUUAGCAGAGAUGCUUUGGUGCCUUCGGGAACUGUGAGACAGGUGCUGCAUGGCUGUCGUCAGCUCGUGUUGUGAAAUGUUGGGUUAAGUCCCGCAACGAGCGCAACCCUUAUCCUUUGUUGCCAGCGGUCCGGCCGGGAACUCAAAGGAGACUGCCAGUGAUAAACUGGAGGAAGGUGGGGAUGACGUCAAGUCAUCAUGGCCCUUACGACCAGGGCUACACACGUGCUACAAUGGCAUAUACAAAGAGAAGCGACCUCGCGAGAGCAAGCGGACCUCAUAAAGUAUGUCGUAGUCCGGAUUGGAGUCUGCAACUCGACUCCAUGAAGUCGGAAUCGCUAGUAAUCGUAGAUCAGAAUGCUACGGUGAAUACGUUCCCGGGCCUUGUACACACCGCCCGUCACACCAUGGGAGUGGGUUGCAAAAGAAGUAGGUAGCUUAACCUUCGGGAGGGCGCUUACCACUUUGUGAUUCAUGACUGGGGUGAAGUCGUAACAAGGUAACCGUAGGGGAACCUGCGGUUGGAUCACCU